UACGUAGGAUGCAAGCGUUGUCCGGAAUUAUUGGGCGUAAAGAGCGCGCAGGCGGUCUAUCAAGUCAGAUGUGAAAUAUCCCGGCUUAACCGGGAGGGGUCAUUUGAAACUGGUAGACUAGAGUACAGCAGAGGAUAGUGGAAUUCCCGGUGUAGUGGUGAAAUGCGUAGAUAUCGGGAGGAACACCAGUGGCGAAGGCGGUUCUCUGGGCAUGUCCUGACGCUGAGGAGCGAAAGUGUGGGGAGCGAACAGG
rnacentral:rRNA from 1 species